GGAGCUUGCUCCUGGAUUCAGCGGCGGACGGGUGAGUAAUGCCUAGGAAUCUGCCUGGUAGUGGGGGAUAACGUCCGGAAACGGGCGCUAAUACCGCAUACGUCCUGAGGGAGAAAGUGGGGGAUCUUCGGACCUCACGCUAUCAGAUGAGCCUAGGUCGGAUUAGCUAGUUGGUGGGGUAAAGGCCUACCAAGGCGACGAUCCGUAACUGGUCUGAGAGGAUGAUCAGUCACACUGGAACUGAGACACGGUCCAGACUCCUACGGGAGGCAGCAGUGGGGAAUAUUGGACAAUGGGCGAAAGCCUGAUCCAGCCAUGCCGCGUGUGUGAAGAAGGUCUUCGGAUUGUAAAGCACUUUAAGUUGGGAGGAAGGGCAGUAAGUUAAUACCUUGCUGUUUUGACGUUACCAACAGAAUAAGCACCGGCUAACUUCGUGCCAGCAGCCGCGGUAAUACGAAGGGUGCAAGCGUUAAUCGGAAUUACUGGGCGUAAAGCGCGCGUAGGUGGUUCAACAAGUUGGAUGUGAAAUCCCCGGGCUCAACCUGGGAACUGCAUCCAAAACUACUGAGCUAUAGUACGGUAGAGGGUGGUGGAAUUUCCUGUGUAGCGGUGAAAUGCGUAGAUAUAGGAAGGAGCACCAGUGGCGAAAGGCGACCACCUGGACUGAUACUGACACUGAGGUGCAAAGCGUGGGGAGCAAACACGAUUAGAUACCCUGGUAGUCCACGCCGUAAACGAUGUCGACUAGCCGUGGGGAUCCUUGAGAUCUUAGUGGCGCAGCUAACGCGAUUAGUCGACCGCCUGGGGAGUACCGCCUCACGGUAAGACUCAAAAUGAUUGACGGGCGCCCGCACAACGUUCGAGCAUGUUGUUUAAUUCAAUCACGCGAAGAACCUUACCUGCCCUUGACAUGCUGAGAACUUUCCGAAAUGAUUGGUGCGUUCCGCAUCUGAAACCAAGUACUAGCGAGGCUGGUCGUCAGCCUCGGUCGUGGAAUGUAGGAUAGUGCUGUAACAGACAGCGUUUC
rnacentral:rRNA from 1 species